GAUGAACGCUGGCGGCGUGCUUAACACAUGCAAGUCGAACGAAGCACUUAUGACAGAAUCUUCGGAGGAUGGAUUAAGUGACUGAGUGGCGGACGGGUGAGUAACGCGUGGGUAACCUGCCUCAUACAGGGGGAUAACAGUUAGAAAUGACUGCUAAUACCGCAUAAGCGCACAGUACCGCAUGGUACGGUGUGAAAAACUCCGGUGGUAUGAGAUGGACCCGCGUCUGAUUAGCUAGUUGGUGGGGUAACGGCCUACCAAGGCGACGAUCAGUAGCCGACCUGAGAGGGUGGCCGGCCACAUUGGGACUGAGACACGGCCCAAACUCCUACGGGAGGCAGCAGUGGGGAAUAUUGAACAAUGGGCGAAAGCCUGAUGCAGCGACGCCGCGUGAGCGAUGAAGUAUUUCGGUAUGUAAAGCUCUAUCAGCAGGGAAGAAAAUGACGGUACCUGACUAAGAAGCACCGGCUAAAUACGUGCCAGCCGCCGCCGUAAAAC
rnacentral:rRNA from 1 species